rnacentral:lncRNA from 13 species
AUGGUUGAUGAAAAAUGUGAUUUCCUUGCUGCAGCAAACGUGGAAGGCGGGAGAUGUGAAGAUGCUACCACUUUGCCACCCUUCCCCCUCAAGGAUGCCUGCACUUUUCUGAAACCCACGAGGAGCUCUGCAGCAAAGAAACAGAACUUUCAGUUUCUGGAGAUUAUGCUGAUUCUCCAGGGUCUUAAAGAAUCCAGAUGA